rnacentral:lncRNA from 1 species
CGGGCUGUGCGGCCCGGGCUGUGACCCAGCGGCUCGCGCGGUGGCGCGCAGGGCCCUGCAGCCAGCCGCCCCGCCCGCGCCCCCGGCUCCGCGCGCCCCUGGCCCCAGGCGCCGUCUCCCCACUCUGCGCGCCCUCGGCUGCGGGGUAGCGGGCAGCCCUGCGCUGCCGGCCGCCUAGCCUGCACCCCCCGCCCUGGGAGGGAAGCCUCGCUCCAGCCGCGUCGUUUCCGCGCCGAAGUGCGAUCCGGGGCCCCGCGCUGGAGUCCCCUGCUCUCAGGCUGGUCUGGAAGGUGGUGGCAGUUGCUGGAGUACCAGGGCACCAAGUGGAGGAUGUGGUAGACAGCCUCUAAGAUGCGCCCCCUGCCAAUGAUCUCUGCCUCCAGGGAGGAGCUAGAAGGCAGAGAGAAAGCCACUCAGGACUUCCCAUCCCAGAAGAUAAAGGUGAGGAAAGCAGCAGCAGCAGCCACAGGCCAGUAUUCCAGAGCAGCUUUGGGUUCCUGUCAAGACCUGCUUUGAGAAGGAGGUGGCUGUGGGGCUGGAGGGCUGGGCCUGUUCCUGAGCUGGCUGCUGGCAGCACAGCAAUGAGGCAACAUUGAGAACUGCGACACGAGGCCCAGUCCUGCUACUAAACCAACUGUGUGGACUUGCAUAGUCACUUCACCCCUCGGGCCUCCAUUUCUCCACUUUGGAAAGCAGUGUUGGGACGAUGUUAAGGGUUUGCAACCUUCCAACAUGAAGACUUAUUUUUAAAAGCAAAACAUUUCAAAGAGUCCACAUGACAGUAGUGUUCAUUUUGGCAUCUGUUGAUUUAACAAAUACAAAAUUAGGCUGGGUGUAGUUGCUAACGCCUGUAAUUCCAGCACUUUGGGAGACCGAGGCAGGAGGAUCACCUGAAAUCAGGAGUUCGAGACCAGCCUGGCCAACAUGGUGGAACUCCAUCACUACCAAAAAUACAAAAAUUAGCUGGGCUUGGUGGCACGUGCCUGUAAUCCCAGCUACUCGGGAGGCUGAGGCAGGAGAAUCAUUUGAACCCGGGAGGCAGAGGUUGCAGUGACCUGAGAUUGCACCACUGUACUCCAGCCUGGGCAACAGGGCAAGACUCCAUUAAAAAAAAAAAUACAAAAUUAGGCAUGGUGGUGUUCGUCUGUAGUCCCAUCUAUUUGAGAGGUUAAGGCGGGAGGAUCACUUGAGCUCAGGAGUUUGAGUUUGCAGUG